AAGAAAAUUCCCCUGGGAUUAAGUUUUUUUAGUGAAGAGGAAUAUUAUGAGGUGGAUGGGAGGGGCUUAAGGUCCUCCACUUUCGCCUUGGUGCCUGUCUUCGCCCAGCUGAGCAACCUCCAGAGCUUCCUACCAGCUGUUGGUGCAGCUUUCUCCGUUGCCAUCGGUGCUCAGCACGUGUGCUACGGCCAUGUCACUCCUGGCGACCCUGGGGCUGGAGCUGGACAGGGCCCUGCUCCCAGCUAGUGGGCUGGGCUGGCUCGUAGACUAUGGGAAGCUCCUCCUGGCCCCUGCCCCCCUGGGCCCCUAUGAGGUCCUGGGGGAGCCCUGGAGGGCGGGCUUCCGGGGGGGGGAGAGCCCCUGGCAGGUGAUGGCUUCUCCGACUGGAUGACUGAGCGAGUUGACUUUACAGCCCUCCUCCCUCUGGAACCCCCCUUGCCCUCAGGUGCCCUUCCCCCACCUUCCCCAUCCCCACCUGACCUGGAAGCCAUGGCCUCCCUCCUUAAGAAGGAGCUGGAACAGAUGGAAGACUUCUUCCUUGAUGCCCCACUCCUCCCACCACCCUCCCCACCACCACCACCACCACCAUUGCCACCAGCCCCCUCCCUCCCUCUCCCCCUCCCUACCUUUGACCUCCCCCAGCCCCCUGCCCUGGACACCCUGGACUUGCUGGCCAUCUACUGCCGCAGCGAGGCCGGGCAAGGGGAGGCCGGGUUGGUGCCCCUGUCCCCACCACAGCAGCCCCCUCCUCCUCCUCCUCUUCCUCCACCUCCACCUCCACCCUCUCGCCCUGCCCCCUACCCCAGUCCUGCCACCGCCCGAGGGGACCGCAAGCAAAAGAAGAGAGACCAGAACAAGUCUGCAGCUCUGAGGUACUGCCAGAGGAAGCGGGCAGAGGGCGAGGCCCUGGAGGGCGAGUGCCAGGGGCUGGAGGCGCGGAACCGCGAGCUGCGGGAGAGGGCAGAGUCGGUGGAGCGCGAGAUCCAGUACGUCAAGGACCUGCUCAUCGAGGUGUACAAGGCUCGGAGCCAGAGGUCCCGCAGCAGCUAGCAGGGUGCUGGGCAUUAGCACUGGCUCACUUUCGUGUCUGGGGCCAUGACCACCCUCCCUCCCCCCAGCUUCCUUCCAGACCCCCCAGCUCUUGUCCUUACUGUCUCUCUUGCCCAUUUCUGAACUGUGUUUCCCUCUUCUCUCCCCAGAAUCAAGCAAUGUUUGGCCUCAGUCAACGUCUAACAUCCUCAAGUAGCAGCUGAGGCUGGGGGAGGCCCACAGGGAACGCAGGCAGCAGGGAGAGCUUGGAGACUGGUCUCUUGAAUUUCCAAUCUGGUUUCUUGCAGGUGGUUCUUGGUGGUGGGUGGAGGGGCCGUGGGCUAGAGCAGGGUGCCUAUGCCGAUGGGGACGUGAGUCAGGGAGGCUUCAGGACGGGGACCCGUAUGAUAUAAGCAGAAAAGCAUGGCAAGGGACCUUGGGGAGGGAGCCAAAAUGUGGCCAAGCUCGCAGAGCAGGUGGAUAUGAGGAGGGGCAGAGCGGGGGACCGUCAUGGUGGGUGACUGGGUGUUCAUUUUAGCUCUGGGAGAAAAUCAGUGUUUUGUGAAGGUGUUGGGGGGGGCUGCAUUUAGGUGAGGGAG